AGUCCAUGGUGUGGACACCUUCUCACCAAAUCCUUGAAUCUAUCCUAAGCUUCAUAAAGUGUCUCCAUAUCCAUCUGAGUAAACAUUUGGAUAUCAUUUCUCAGUUU